GUCCAUCUCCUCCCCAUCAUUACUGUAUGUCAUUGAUUAUAUAUUGGAUCACAGUUUAUCAGAAACUAAUUGAAUACAUUAUAUUACUGAAUUUUGAUAAUUUCCAAGCCACAGUACUCUAUUUCUGAGAAUAGUAAUAACAAUUUUGGUGAACAUUCUUUAAGACAAUUCUGCAGUCUUAACAUGGCACAUGGAUUUACAUGAGAGAUAAAUACGGUAUAAUUUACGUAGACUUAAUCUGAUUUCUGAUUUCAAUUUCUCAGUUCAUCACCUUUGACAUCUUCCGUAAUGCACGUUUCCCAUUCAGUAGAACAUUAGUGCAAUACUCCACUGCAAUGUUGUUCAUUUCAAUGUAAGUCGAUAGUUGAGCAUCUGUCAGCAUUAUCUAAAUGUUAGCAUACUCCUUAACAUUUACAUCACUUUUAGAAGACAUACACAUUUAAAAUAUACAGUCUCACCCUUUCACUCUUCUUUGCUUCUUUACUUAUUUCACAAGAGAUUGGUUUGUAGUUAGUUUGCUUUUAAAUUAGGUCAUUAUUAAUAUGCUGGUUUACACAGGUAUAGCACUGUAGAAUCAUAUCACUCUUUGCACAUCAGUAUUUUAUUCAUUCAUUUAUUUUUUUGGAUGGAUAACCUCAGGCUGUUCAAAUUCAAUUACACCAUAACACAUCCAUCAAAAGGAAGAAAAGCAAAAGAGAAAAACUAAAAGCUGAUGCAACGCCAGGUCCUUGAAUGUAUCUCUGUAAUUAAAUUACUGUUAUUCCUGCAAAAAGUACAGUUUAAAUUCAGAGCAGCUGUGCACAGGCUACUCUACUGACAUCUGACUGAUGAAUAUUAUCACGAAAGCACUGACCCUUCUUCAGGAACACAUGUACUUGUAUUCAGAGUUCCCAACAAUGAUGAUUUUCAGUCAUUCAAUACUGAAUAAGUAUUUGUAUAUGGAUAUUACUGGGUAGAAUCUCCAGCAAAAAUUAUUAUAUUUCAUUUUUGUACAGAAGUCAUGUAUUAUUAACAUUUAAAUGCCUGAAAACCAUGAUUUUUUUUCCCCCCUGAUAUUUCCAGGUUUGCCACAUUCAUAUUCUAAAUUUGUGUGGGUGUGUGAUUUUGUUGAUGUUUAAAAAUUUAAUUUGUGGGUCAAUUCCCUCAACAAGUGUAAACACUGUGGAUAUGUGUGGCACUAUCGUAACUUUGCUCUAUUUGUUCGAGAAUCACAAAACAGCAACAUGGGAUCAAUCAAUUACGUGACUUGGGGGCGGGACUAUCGGUUUGUCUGACCAAAGAGAAACAAGGUUUUUGCAAUUCUGUUUAGUAAUGCUUGUGGUACAGAAACUACAGGGAGAAUAAUAAAAGAAGAGCUUUACUAAUAUAUCGUACUUUCUGAGUAAUACACCAAAACAGACUUGUCUCUUCACACACAGCCCUUGAAAUAUAGUUUUCAUUAAAAAUACACUACUUAAACUUUUUGGAUUUCUAUAGCCCUUUGUAAUAGUGUCCUCUUUCUAAAAAAGAACAACAAAAAACCCUCUCUUCAGAAUCAAAUGGUUUCCUUACACCUUUAUGACAAGUAAGACAAUACUUUGUGCACUGAUGUUUUUUUUCUCAAAAAGUACUUUCCUACCUAAAAUGCAUGGCUGUUAACAUCCAAGGCACUUCACAUGCAGGUGCUCAUAGCUGUGUGUUGCUCAUCAGGUGAAUUACCAUAGCGAGUUUCUGCUCCAGCAGUUGAAUAAUCACUUCUGCAUGAGCUGUUCACCUAUAGCACCAUGGCAACAUCAGCUAUUAAAGAAACUACAAAUCUCUAUUCUAGAUUUUAGCAUCAUUCUGUGAGCUAAAAACUAAAAGAUUAAGUAGAAGAUCAACAAGACAUGCUUCAAAAACCAAACAUGCUUUACAUCCAGUGACAUUAUGACUUAAAUUGUUUGACUGAGUGAGUGGUUUUGAACUGAAAUGAUACAUUUUUGCUAGUUUGGGCAAAACUGAAAAGGAGUAGAUUAUCUACUUGAAAUGUAAUCGAUCAUUUAUUCCAAGUUUUACAUAAAUUAUAAGUAUGUUCUGAGUCUAUUGUCAUAUAUUUGAAGGGUUUUCAGGGACACAGACAGAACUGUAAAAACAAUGGAAGCAUAAGAAAAAUAAAGCAAUCAAAACAAAGCUUAAGAAUUACAGAACCACACAACCUGAACACAUUUUAGUACAAAUUUUAAAUAUAAAGAGAAAUGAAGAAUGCAACAAGCUUUUGCACAUACAUCACAAGAAAAAUGCAUGACUUAAGGAAUCACGCAAGAUGUGAUUCAUACAAACAGUAAACAAUUAUCAAUUUUAAUACAAUACUGUCCGAUGAAAAGCACCUCAAAACAGUUGUUUCUGUUUUAGAUCUAAAAGGGUUCAUUAUAGCAUUCACAAAAUAACCAAACAAAAGCUUAACAAAUAGUCUUUUUUAUUUUUAAAUUCCCUGCCUCAAAUAUAUAAACUUGAUUUUCAAACCAAGGCUCUGCAUGUACAGGGUUGAACAUCUUUAAAUUGGAUACGUCUUUUAAGAAAUUGAGGUAUAGUGUCAAGAAAUUUAAUUUGACAUGAAGUUACUUUUCAUCAAGUUUCUUUAGCAUUGUAGAUCCACUGAUUACCACAGCAUCAUUGCUACCUCUUGAGAACAAAAGACAGCUAGUGGAAGACCAUUAAUCCUUCACCAUGUCAGACAUGCCCACAUAUUACUGGACAAAAAAGGAUACUUCAAGUGCUUAAAUUGGUCAAUAUUUACAUAAUGGAUGCUUUAUAAUUACAAAUCUGGAUGGUUUGAAAUGCUUGUUUUAUUUUAUAGCUGGCAGAGACACUUGAUUGAUUGACAUCUUGUGAAGAAAUCUGUUGCACUGUUGGUUUUCAAACCCCCCAAAAAAUUAAAAUAAAAUAAAAUCUAGAGAAAAGACUCUUGAUAGUUAUCAAAUCAAUUUUGAUGCGCAUGCAAGAUUUAAAGGCAAUCAUAAAAGAACAGUAUUGUACAAAAUAAUAAUUACAGUUCUUCCAAAAAAAAAAAACAACCUUUCAAAGCACUUUCAAUAGCACUUUAAGUGUUUGGGUGUUUACUACAAGAGCACACCACUGUGGUUGUCUUGCUCUGAGCAGCACCUGGAGGAGGAUCUGUAAAGAAUACAGGAAAAAACGAACAGGGACGGGAUUGGGAAUUUAUUGGAUUGGGGCUUGGGGCUUGGGGAAGGACUGGGAUCAUGAGUAAUUGGUGCUGGGAUUAAGGUUGAAAUGGGACAAAAAGAAAAUAACAAGCCUUAAAACUUCAAGUGGAGAAAAAACGGUUUUGAAAAUGGGAAAAUAAUCCCACAGACUUUAGAGUGGUUAGAUGUUAAAGGAAUGGGUCCUCCUUCCUCUUCUAAAAGUGUGCCAUUGUCCACCAGGUAGUUUGUGUCCUCUCUCUGUUUUUAUUCCAAUUGCAGGUUUCAGUCGUGUGACUGGGAUCCCACCAGGGCCAUGAAUAUUCCAUUUCCGAUUACACAGUGCAGGUGCUGCUGGUGUGUGUGUUUGUGGCGCGAGGAGGAGGUGGGCAGGGGGUCCCUUGGCUGGCCACACUCCUUGACCCUUGCCAUAAAGGUAGAGGGGAUGUCCUUCAACCGAGAAAACAGACAGGGCCUACCUCAAAGCCAAACCUUUGACUGGAUUCCCCAAAGUCAUUCAACAUGACAUCGAUGAUGGGUACCUGGUCGAUGCGAGGAGUAUUAAUUUCCUCAUCAUUAGAGCCCAGGAAGCGCAGCGCCUUGUCAUAGUUGUCAGCCUUGGCGUCAUACCAGGCCACAGACUGAUGGCAUAUGUAUGUGAAGUUCUGCCGGGCAGAAGAGCUGAGCAACUUGAGGAAUGUCAUCUGGACUGAGUUUAUCGAGCUCUCCUCAACAUCCACAUAAGACAA
ensembl:lncRNA